UCCCAAUUGAGCUAAUCGGACGUGUCCCACAGUCUUUGACUUGUCCACCGCUUUUAGAUCCGUCGUCUCCUGUAUGAUUUUCUUGCUUCCAUGUCCGAGAUCAGAGAUUCAGAGCAGACCGCAGCCGCCUCAAAGGGCGUAGAGGCGGUAGGACGGCUGAGACCCGUAUAAUUUCUCCUCCUGCUUGGUGACCCAAGCGGGUGUCGAGAGAUUGGCGUUGGCGGAUGGAGUCGGCAAGCAUUUGGAGCCGUAGAUUACCUCUGCACAAAAAGCAUGCUUGAAUUGAAGGUCCUUCACAAGGAAUAUGAGUGUUUCAGGAGGAAUUAUGGCUGCUGUCCACAAUUUUUUGCCAGCACUCAACCCUAAAUAAAGUGCCAAAACCACUAGAUCAGAGUUUUCUAGGGUCUUACAGCACGGUUGUAACAAAAAGAAAGAUUCAGGUCUGUCAAGAAAAUCCAGCAAGCAUACUGAGAGAGCUAACUUGCAAUCAAGUGGGAACAAGAUAGCAAAUCAUUGAAAGAAAACUUCAAGAAUGUACAUGAUUUAACCAUUAAAAUAUUUAUUUUAGUAUUAAACCCAAACUCCCAUCCUCCACUUCCACCCUCUGUAUGUUGCUCUCCUUCAUCUUGUCAGUGGUCAUUCAUGUCCGCAUUGCUCCUGUCAUCAAUUAAUCUACACCACCUGCUUCAAUUCUUAAUUUCAGUGAAAGAAAUAAGAAAGGUGCAUUUGCCUAAUUAGAACUGCAUUUGUCAAAUCGCAUGGAAAGAAGACUUUUAAGUCACUUGGGGAAAUCACAACCAGCCAUUCAUACUAUGUCUCACAUUCAUCACAUGUGGCAAACUCUGGCCAUAUAAAUCAACAAACAAGUAAAAGAAAGAAGUAACAAUGUAACAGGGAAGAAAAUAGGCUGGAAGAAUGUUCAUUGCGACAAUCUCCGUGCGAUUUAGACCUUUAAAUUCAAGUGAGAAAAGAGGUUAUGGAGACAUUAUAUGCUUUCAGGCCUUAGAUGCAAAGUCCUUUCUGUUCAAGGAUGAGAAGGUGGAUGAUAUUCUCUUUUGCUUUGAUAAAGUCUUCUACCCAGAUCGUGCACAAGCAGAUGUCUAUGAGUUCCUUGCUAUGCCCAUAAUUGGAGGUCGGGACUGAUUGCAGAAAUAGGGUGGGAAUUCUAGAACUGCAUUGCUGUGCUCUGCUCUCCAAGCCGUUCAAAUGCUUCAGAAAGCCUGUCUACUCUUCGAUUUGACACUAGGCAUGUCUUGCAAACAUUGCAUGCGGAUUCUGGGACGGAAAAACAAACAGAUUGUCAUUGAUUGGUUAUGUUGCAGAGAAAUGCUUUAAAGAGAAAAUUAAUAGCCAUUGGUAGGGAACAAAAAGACAAUGAUGAGCAGACUACCCAAAACAACUCAUGUGAGAAUGUUGCAAAAGGUCAGUGAUGAAAAACUUGUAAUCAGGAAUUAUACACAUUUUGCUGGAUCAGCAAUACCUUUAUGCAUGUCAAAAUGUGCGGUUGUGGGUAUAUUUGUCUGUGGAAGAAGGGGAUUUGUUGGUGGAAUUGUUCAUAUUGGAAGCAUCCAUUCUGAUCCUCAGUCCCCUGAAGACAUUGAAUCAGUGUGUGAUGUUGUCACCUUCCGGACAAUUUCAUCACUGAAGCAAGCUGUGAAAGAUUUCAGAUAUUUUCUACAAUUUUGCAGGUUCUUAAAACAACAAAGAUUUCUAACAUCUAAAUCUUCUGAUAUUAAGUUAACAAGGGAGAACCGUGCAUUGAAGGUGAAGAAUAAUGCACUGAAGUCUGAGCACGCUGCUUCUCAGAUGGGUUUAAACCAUGCAAGUGCUGAAGGAAUUUUAUCUUUUUUUUUUGGCAUAAUCAUAAUUAGCAUGGUCAUAGGCAUUAUUGUUUUUUGGUGUCUUUGUUUCUUCUCCUUAUGAUAAGAAGGUUAGGGAAGGACUCUUUUGGAAGCAGAUUUAAAUUUAUUGAGAAUGAGAGUAUACCCCAAUUAGCUGGCCCUGGAACAUAUUCGUUAACGCAAUGUUUGGUUGGCCGAA